rnacentral:lncRNA from 1 species
AUAUUAUAUUUUAAUAAAUCUAGAUGUAUGUUAGAAUGAUUAAUAGAUUAAUUUAAAGAGAGUGGAUUUAAGAAACUCUAUUUUGAAUUUAUCUUUUUUGAUUAUAGCAUUUAAAAUAAAAAUUGUAAGACCUAAAUAUUUAAUAUAAAGCCUUGAGAGGGGAUUAGAGCCAAAAGAAGAAAAUCUUAAUUAGUAGGAAGCUUAUUGGAAGGAAUGAAAGCAAGGCAUGGUUGGAUGAAGGCAAGGAAUGGAGAUCUUCAUUCCUAUUGGUCAAAGACCAUGCCCAAUGGACUUCAAGGAGGCUGCCCGAGGUCUUAU